GACGAACGCUGGCGGCGUGCCUAAUACAUGCAAGUCGAGCGGACGAUUCGAAAGCUUGCUUUUGAAUCGUUAGCGGCGGACGGGUGAGUAACACGUGGGCAACCUGCCCUGUAGACGGGGAUAACACCGAGAAAUCGGUGCUAAUACCGGAUAACACGAAAUGUCGCAUGACGUUUCGUUGAAAGGCGGCGCAAGCUGCCGCUACAGGAUGGGCCCGCGGCGCAUUAGCUAGUUGGUGAGGUAACGGCUCACCAAGGCGACGAUGCGUAGCCGACCUGAGAGGGUGAUCGGCCACACUGGGACUGAGACACGGCCCAGACUCCUACGGGAGGCAGCAGUAGGGAAUCUUCCGCAAUGGACGAAAGUCUGACGGAGCAACGCCGCGUGAGCGAAGAAGGCCUUCGGGUCGUAAAGCUCUGUUGUUAGGGAAGAACAAGUAACGUAGUAACUGACGUUACUAUGACGGUACCUAACGAGAAAGCCACGGCUAACUACGUG
rnacentral:rRNA from 1 species